GCGCCCGUAGCGCAGCCUGGAAGCGCGAUAGCCUCCUAAGCUAUAGGUCCGGGGUUCGAAUCCCCGCGGGCGCG
rnacentral:tRNA from 1 species